AUUGAACGCUGGCGGCAUGCUUUACACAUGCAAGUCGAACGGUAACAGGCCGCAAGGUGCUGACGAGUGGCGAACGGGUGAGUAAUGCAUCGGAACGUGCCCAGUCGUGGGGGAUAACUACUCGAAAGAGUAGCUAAUACCGCAUACGAUCUAUGGAUGAAAGCGGGGGACCGUAAGGCCUCGCGCGAUUGGAGCGGCCGAUGUCAGAUUAGGUAGUUGGUGGGGUAAAGGCUCACCAAGCCAACGAUCUGUAGCUGGUCUGAGAGGACAACCGGCCACACUGGGACUGAGACACGGCCCAGACUCCUACGGGAGGCAGCAGUGGGGAAUUUUGGACAAUGGGCGCAAGCCUGAUCCAGCAAUGCCGCGUGCAGGAAGAAGGCCUUCGGGUUGUAAACUGCUUUUGUACGGAACGAAACGGCUCUGGUUAAUACCCGGGGCUAAUGACGGUACCGUAAGAAUAAGCACCGGCUAACUACGUG
rnacentral:rRNA from 1 species